GACGAACGCUGGCGGCGUGCUUAACACAUGCAAGUCGAACGGAAAGGCCCUGCUUUUGUGGGGUGCUCGAGUGGCGAACGGGUGAGUAACACGUGAGUAACCUGCCCUUGACUUUGGGAUAACUUCAGGAAACUGGGGCUAAUACCGGAUAGGAGCUCCUGCUGCAUGGUGGGGGUUGGAAAGUUUCGGCGGUUGGGGAUGGACUCGCGGCUUAUCAGCUUGUUGGUGGGGUAGUGGCUUACCAAGGCUUUGACGGGUAGCCGGCCUGAGAGGGUGACCGGCCACAUUGGGCCUGAGAUACGGCGCAGACUCCUACGGGAGGCAGCAGUGGGGAAUAUUGCACAGUGGGCGGAAGCCUGAUGCAGCAGCGCCGCGUGCGGGAUGACGGCCUUCGGGUUGUAAACCGCUUUCGCCUGUGACGAAGCGUGAGUGACGGUAAUGAGUAAAGAAGCACCGGCUAACUACGUG
rnacentral:rRNA from 1 species